rnacentral:lncRNA from 1 species
CAUGAGGUUCUUCUAAGGUGUGUUCCUCUCUUUAGUGUGGGAUUUUAGGAAGAAAAAAAAGGGAAAGGGUUUCUUUUUUUCUUCCUCCUCUUCUUCCUCCUAUUCUUCUUUUUCUCUGAGAGGAUAUGGGAGAAUGAAGAAGGAUCUCAUUCAACCAUAGAAAAGCGAUCUCUAUAAAGGAGCUAACAUCCUAAGAAGAUCAAGAAGCCUCUCAUCAGAUCAAGACCUCAUGUGGGAUACCUAUAAAGGUCGGACGAUUGUGCACGUCGAGGAAUUCAGAUAUCCACGAUCAUUAAUUGCGGUGU